rnacentral:rRNA from 1 species
UACGGGGGGAGCAAGCGUUGUUCGGAUUUACUGGGCGUAAAGGGCGCGUAGGCGGCCAUCGCAAGUCAAUUGUGAAAUCUCCGGGCUUAACUCGGAAAGGUCAGCCGAUACUGCGGGGCUAGAGUGCAGAAGGGGCAACUGGAAUUCUCGGUGUAGCGGUGAAAUGCGUAGAUAUCGAGAGGAACACCUGCGGCGAAGGCGGGUUGCUGGGCUGACACUGACGCUGAUUGUGCGAAAGCUAGGGGAGCGAACGGG